GACAGAGGGUGCAAACGUUGUUCGGAAUUACUGGGCAUAAAGAGCACGUAGGUGGUGCGCUAAGUCACGUGUGAAAUCCCCCGGCUCAACCGGGGAAUUGCGCGUGAUACUGGCGGACUCGAGGCGGGUAGGGGUGAGCGGAACUCCAGGUGGAGCGGUGAAAUGCGUAGAUAUCGUAAGGAAGACCAGUGGCGAAGGCGAGUCUCUGGACAGCAACUGACGCUGAGGCACGAAGGCCAGGGGAGCAAACGGG
rnacentral:rRNA from 1 species